rnacentral:rRNA from 1 species
AACACGUGAGUAACCUGCCCUGGACUCUGGGAUAACCCCGAGAAAUCGGAGCUAAUACCGGAUAGGACCUGGAACCGCAUGGUUUUGGGUGGAAAGUUUUUCGGUCUGGGAUGGACUCGCGGCCUAUCAGCUUGUUGGUGAGGUAAUGGCUCACCAAGGCGUCGACGGGUAGCCGGCCUGAGAGGGUGACCGGCCACACUGGGACUGAGACACGGCCCAGACUCCUACGGGAGGCAGCAGUGGGGAAUAUUGCACAAUGGGCGCAAGCCUGAUGCAGCAACGCCGCGUGAGGGAUGACGGCCUUCGGGUUGUAAACCUCUUUUAGUAGGGAAGAAGGGCUUCGGCUUGACGGUACCUGCAGAAAAAGCACCGGCUAACUACGUGCCAGCAGCCGCGGUAAUACGUAGGGUGCGAGCGUUGUCCGGAAUUAUUGGGCGUAAAGAGCUCGUAGGCGGUUUGUCACGUCUGCUGUGAAAUCCCGAGGCUCAACCUCGGGCCUGCAGUGGGUACGGGCAGACUGGAGUGCGGUAGGGGAGAAUGGAAUUCCUGGUGUAGCGGUGGAAUGCGCAGAUAUCAGGAGGAACACCGAUGGCGAAGGCAGUUCUCUGGGCCGUAACUGACGCUGAGGAGCGAAAGCGUGGGGAGCGAACAGGAUUAGAUACCCUGGUAGUCCACGCCGUAAACGUUGGGCGCUAGAUGUGGGGACCUUUCCACGGUUUCCGUGUCGUAGCUAACGCAUUAAGCGCCCCGCCUGGGGAGUACGGCCGCAAGGCUAAAACUCAAAGGAAUUGACGGGGGCCCGCACAAGCGGCGGAGCAUGCGGAUUAAUUCGAUGCAACGCGAAGAACCUUACCAAGGCUUGACAUAACCGAGAACGCCGCAGAAAUGUGGAACUCUUUGGACACUCGGUUACAGGUGGUGCAUGGUUGUCGUCAGCUCGUGUCGUGAGAUGUUGGGUUAAGUCCCGCAACGAGCGCAACCCUCGUCGUAUGUUGCCAGCACGUCAUGGUGGGAACUCAUAUGAGACUGCCGGGGUCAACUCGGAGGAAGGUGGGGAUGACGUCAAAUCAUCAUGCCCCUUAUGUCUUGGGCUUCACGCAUGCUACAAUGGCCGGUACAAAGGGCUGCGAUGUCGUAAGGCGGAGCGAAUCCCAAAAAGCCGGUCUCAGUUCGGAUUGAGGUCUGCAACUCGACCUCAUGAAGUCGGAGUCGCUAGUAAUCGCAGAUCAGCAACGCUGCGGUGAAUACGUUCCCGGGCCUUGUACACACCGCCCGUCAAGUCAUGAAAGUC